CUCCCCUGCAGUAGCUAAGAUUGCUGCUGCAUCCUGCCUGCCGUCUGCCUUAUAGGUGGGGUGUCGCUCCAGGACAUUUUGCUUCUGACUUGUAAGAUUCCCUAUCCAGUACACCUUGGAUGUCUCUUUCGCUGUUUCCAGGCUCUUUCUUUGGUCUCACGGUUGGGCAACUACAAGGCUUGCAGACCUGAGGGGUACAGCCCCAAAACAAGAAACAAUGCUUUGCAGUUUUAUACAGUAGCGGAAAGAGUAUUGGACCGAAGAUCUGACUCCUCAAAUCUACUGUUUAAGUUAGGAUGGUAAACUCAGUAUUAAUUACUACUGCCUUAAGAGUAUAUAAUGUCGGACUUCUCUGGUGGCGCAGUGGUUAAGAAUCUGCCUGCCAGUGCAGCGGACACGGGUUCGAGCCUUGGUCCGGGAGGAUCCCACAUGUGGCAGAGCAACUAAGCCCGUGCGUCACACCUACUGAGCCUGCGCUCUAGAGCCUGCGAGCCACAACUACUUAAGCCCGCGCACCUAGAGCCCGUGCUCUGCAACAACAGAAGCUACCGCAGUGAGAAGCCCACGUGCCACAACAAAGAGUAGCCCCUGCUCACCACAACUAGAGAGAGAAAACCCGUGCGCAGCAACGAAGACCCAACACGGCCAAAAAUGAAAUAAAUAAAUAAAAAGUAUUUUUUAAAAAAGAGUAUAUAAUGUAGUAAAUUAAUCACUGUGAUAUGCCGUUAAAAUACCCAGAAUAAUGAGUGUGAAUAAUAGAAAAAUAAGCAAGCCAAUCUUGAGAAAUAUUUCUGAGAAACUAAGUUGACUGGAUUCUAUCCCAAUAGUCUGCCCAGAAUCUUCACAAGAUACCACAGACUAGCAAAGUCUUUGGCUGUAGCAGAAUAAAUAUUACAACCAUUUUCUCUUCAACCACAGCCAAACUGGUAAGAACAAACAAUUAUUCUUCUAUAUUUGCUUCAUAUGCAACUCAGCACAAUAUGAAAUAAAGUGUAAGGGACUUCUCCAUGGGUUUUAUAGAAGGGAAAGUACA